rnacentral:tRNA from 2 species
GGCCCCGUCGUCUAGCGGUCCAGGAUGCAUGGUUCUCAGCCAUGAGAUCGAGGGUUCGAAUCCCUUCGGGGCUACCA